rnacentral:rRNA from 1 species
AUUGAACGCUGGCGGCAGGCCUAACACAUGCAAGUCGAGCGGAUGAAGGGAGCUUGCUCCCGGAUUCAGCGGCGGACGGGUGAGUAAUGCCUAGGAAUCUGCCUGGUAGUGGGGGAUAACGUCCGGAAACGGGCGCUAAUACCGCAUACGUCCUGAGGGAGAAAGUGGGGGAGCUUCGGACCUCACGCUAUCAGAUGAGCCUAGGUCGGAUUAGCUAGUUGGUGGGGUAAAGGCCUACCAAGGCGACGAGCCGUAACUGGUCUGAGAGGAUGAUCAGUCACACUGGAACUGAGACACGGUCCAGAGUCCUGCGGGCGGCAGCAGUGGGGAAUAUUGGACAAUGGGCGAAAGCCUGAUCCAGCCAUGCCGCGUGUGUGAAGAAGGUCUUCGGAUUGUAAAGCACUUUAAGUUGGGAGGAAGGGCAGUACGUUAAUACCUUGCUGUUUUGACGUUACCAACAGAAUAAGCACCGGCUAACUUCGUG